rnacentral:rRNA from 1 species
UACGUAGGGUGCGAGCGUUGUCCGGAAUUAUUGGGCGUAAAGGGCUCGUAGGCGGUCUGUUGCGUCAGGAGUGAAAACUCGGGGCUUAACCCCGAGCCUGCUUCUGAUACGGGCAGACUAGAGGUAUGCAGGGGAGAACGGAAUUCCUGGUGUAGCGGUGAAAUGCGCAGAUAUCAGGAGGAACACCGGUGGCGAAGGCGGCAUCCUGGACCGGUAUUGACGCUGAGGCGCGAAAGCUAGGGUAGCAAACGGG